rnacentral:rRNA from 1 species
CCUACGGGAGGCAGCAGUGGGGAAUAUUGCACAAUGGAGGAAACUCUGAUGCAGCGACGCCGCGUGAACGAUGAAGGCUUUCGGGUCGUAAAGUUCUGUCCUAGGGGACGAUUAUGACGGUACCCUAGGAGGAAGCCCCGGCUAACUACGUGCCAGCAGCCGCGGUAAU